AACAAAAUAACGCAUAGUUUCAAAAUAAUGCAUCGCUUCAAAAACUUCUUUGUAGCUUCAAUCACAGAUGAAGAACGUAUUUGAAGAACACAUCUCAAAAUGCAUAUAGCUUCAAACACAUCAAAGUAGGCUAAAACACUCUCACGCCUAUGGAGGUCGCUGACCAUCAAGAAGAGGGCUAUUGGGAGAUUGUCGGGAAAUGAGGGAAGAUGAGAUUUGCUAUAGAGAAUGCGACAAAGACGAGGAUUGUGAUACAAAGAUACAUAUACUGAGAUCGUUUUUGAAUAUUAAGAUCGCCAGGGAUUCACUUUGUAGCGUUAUAUCGGGUUCUCCUGUUGGUGUACUGAUAUCUCCUAGGAUUGGAUUGAUGUCGGCAACUUAUGAAGACUCCAAACAUCAAGAUGGAUAAGCUGAAAAAUACAGUCAGUUUUACUACUACUAAGAGGGAACUUCAAUCUACUUUGCUUAGCUAAAGGGCACACUUCACAAUUAUGUUGCAUGUUGUCUACUACUUUAUUCUUCAAGACAUAAAUGUGUUUCAUUGUUAUUGUUGAUGGAUGGCCUAAUCUCAUAUGCCAAAGGUUGGAUUCAUCAGUGUCCUUGGUAACCAUUGUUGUUGCAGGUCUGUCUCUCCACUUGAGCACAUAUAGUCCACUGUCCUCCUUACCAAUCCCCAUCACCUUCCCAUUGUAAAGACCCUGCAAUACACAAAAGUCAGGGAAGAAUAGGACAUACCAUCUCAACUCCUUGGUCAACUUAGAGAUUAACAACAAAUUAAACUUAAAAUCUGGAACAUAUAACACAUCCUUUAGUUCAUAGCUUCCUAGAAUAGAAGCAUUUCCUUUGUGUGUCACAGAGCACCUGCUACCUGUUGGCACCUGCACUUUAUGAUUCCUCUGUUGCUUAAUGUUCUUUAAAUUAGACAAAACCUCUUUAUGACAUGUAAUAUGAUGAGAUGCCCCUGUAUUUAUUAUCCACUCACAAAAGGAUGCAUUAGACAGCAAUGUAGUUAUACCUGUCAUAAGCGUAUGACCAUCAUCUGCAUGUGUUUUGUUCAGAAGAUCCGAUAGCUUUUUGUACUAACUUUCAGUGGAAAAAUGUCCCUUUGGGUGGUUCUGAGAAGAACUUGUGGUCUCUUCUGAUAUCAUGUUGGAAUAAGUAUGUUUCCUUGCCCCUACUUUUCUUCUUGCUUUUAAUGUCAGGGGGAUACUCUAUGAUUUUGUAACAAUUUUCUUUAAGAUGUCCUUUGUAUCCACAAUGCACAUAAAUUAUCCCAACCUUCUUAGCUUUAUAUCCUUGAUUAUGUCCUGCCAUCAUAGUUAAGGGCUCUCUAUUUACUUCAAGCACACUUAGCUCACGUUGGCUUUCCUCUUGAAUAACCAAAGCGUAAGCCUGUUUACAGUCAGUACCGGCGUCUUAAGCAAUAUCUAACUUCUUACUUGACUAUAACUUUCAUUAAGACCAAUAAGGAACUGCAACAAACGUAGAUUUUUAAAUUGCUCAAUAAAAGGCCUAGUCUCUUCACAAUCACAACUAGGUGUUGGAACUAACAAGUCAAUUUCAUCCCAAAGGUCGUUCAUUUUUGUGAUGUUACAGAAUCAAUACAUUGCUUUAAUGAUCCAAUUUGUAUCCAUAGAAGGUAAAAACGAGUGAGAUUAGUUUUAUCAAACCUCUCCUUGAAUUCACUCCACAAUGUUUUUGCAUUUGAUGCAUAAAUGAUGCUCGGCUGUAAUUCUGCAGAUACUGUGCGUCUUAUCCAUGAGAGAACAACCGCGUUACAUCUUUUCCACCGAUUUGCCUAUUCUCCUUUGUAAGAGCUUUUUAUGCUGGUUCCUUCUAUGAACCCUAGCUUGUUCUUCACUAGAAGUACCAUGCGUAUCGAUAUACUCCACAAACCAUAAUUUUCAAGUCC